AUGCCUCGUGUUCCAGCAACGGUUGAGCGUCUUAGUCGCGUGGAUGGGAUUCUUCCUCCCGGACACGGUUUUGAUGCUGAGUCUUCGAAGGAGGUUUUGUCGAUUGAAGCUAGAUUUCUUGCUGAGCUUCGUCAGAGCGCCCACCUCCGGACUAGCUUUGGGUUGUUCAAGGAAAUGCAGGAUGUUCUUUGCAAGCCUUUUGAAGAUGAGGCAAGUGUUGUUGUGACUCAGAUUCAGAGGCAAGAUCAUGUUCGUUCGGGUCGUGAAGGAGGCCACGUGGAGCAUACCAAAGAUGUUUGUUUGUGUUGGCUUUUUGAUAUUUCUGUGCAUUAA
rnacentral:rRNA from 1 species